GUAACCUCCCCGUACGUCUAGCAUUGCUCUUCUCAAAGUCCUCGAGCCCCGCACACCACCUCCUCCUCGUUUCUCUCCUCGUCGACGCCUCCGCUCCUGCCUCAUCUCCGCCUCCCGAUUCAGACACCCAGCCCUCGAUGCCGGCGCAGGAUGAUAGAGAAGGAGAGGGUGAUCUCGAUGGCCCGAAAAGGGAGGACAAGGGUUGGUGGCAUGGGAUGGAUCUGCUCGGGAAGGUGAGAGGACAGAGACAAAGGGGGAGCACGAGGUGCUCAAGGCGGCGUAGCAGAGGACGGUGUGGAGGCGCUGUGGUGUGGCGUACGGCGUCAAGGGGGAGGUGUGCAGGGGAGUUCCGCGGGGGCGGCACCAUGGAUACGUCGUCAAGAAAGAGGUGUGUAGGGGGGGUUUCGCGGCGGGGCCGCCAUGGAUCCGCAUCCUGGUCGUGACCUUUGCGCCCCCUGCAUGCUGGCUGGCUCACAUCGCCCCUAGAUGGCAUGGAGGCCGUCCAUGACACCGCUGACGUGCCACUCUUGGAUGCCGAGGCGUUGCCCCAAAGACAUCGCCGCCGCCGCCGAGGGCCGGCCAUGAAGCCGCUGAUGUGUGAGCCAAUACAAGUUAGGGACGACCUCGUCACCCGUCAGGUGAGUUUGGCCCCCUUUCCUUCAACCUGUUCGAAACUGUUGUGUGUUUGGGUGCUGUUCCUAGGACAUUGACAUGUUUUGGACCUUUGAUGAUAGUUGUUGGUGUAGAUUUUGGCCAUUUACAGUGCCUCUGCCGUGGCUACGUCUGUGUGUAGUUUUGAAAUGGACCGCUGCAUGUUUUGUUAGUUUGCUCUUUCAUGCAUUUUGCCAGUAAUUCCAUCCAUACACUAAUCAUUCUGAAGUUUCAAACGUUUUGCACAAAACAAAAGACUGCGAGUUCGAGUGUCCAAUGGACACGGAAUGAAUACAACCUUGCAUACAGUGGCGGAGCUACAGCAGGGCCAAACAUGGCCAUGGCCCGCCCAGCCAAACAAGAGUUCAGUGUAGAGUGGAGCUCAUUUUGGCCCCUGGGUGCAAAUUUUCAGGCGCAUAUCUUAAUCUAGCCCUUUUUGGCCCGCCCAGUGAUGUGUGUGUAGCUCCGCCACUGCUUGCAUACCAUCUCGCUGGAGUUCUGGAACCAAACGCUCCAGAUAAAGGAACGGAAAAAAUAUAGCAAGCAUAAAAAUGUUUACAAAAUUUUAUUGCUCAUUACUUAUGAAGACAAUGGUAUUUAUCUUCCAUAUUUCUGUGGUUCAUUCCUUGCUACAAAGUCAACUCUAUCUCCCUGCACCCUCCAAAUCUUGUGCUUCAGGGAUGCCAUCUAUAUACGUAUGAAUUUUCUUUGCUUCUAUAUAUCUGUGCCUGCAGCUGGCUUACAUGUAUUAUCUUAUGAGAUGGACGUCCUUCUAUUUGCUGAUUGUACGUUAGGUCACAAGAAUUAGGGGGCUUAGGAACUCACAUGAACGAGGUAUCAAACCCUCUCAAAGGUUCUCAUGUAUGCUAUUCAUUUCUGCAGACUUUUAUUUUAUUUCUUUCAAUGCUUCCGCAACCAGGUGUAUCUAAAGCAUGAUUUUAGUACAAAAUUUUAUCAGUCGGAGAUUACUUGAAGGAUUUGUGGAAAUUAGAGUGUGGGGAUCUGAAAGAAUUUUUGGCAAGAAAAAACCAAUAUUAGCAUGGUCGAGAUACUAUAGAGGAGAUCAGUAGGCUGAAAGCAAGAGCAACCUAACAUCAUUUUCCGUAGAAUAUUGAUAAUCAGCUUCAACUAUCGCUUUAGGCUGCAGUUUGGUUGUUGACCAAUUUUUUUGCGAGCCCAGCUCAGCUUGUGUCCUCCCAUGAAUUUUCUGCCCAUACAUGCUGAGCUCUCCCGUUAAUCCUCUCUCUCUUCAACUCAAGUCAGCUCUUUCCUCUCUCUAAUUACUUCUCCUGCAGCUGAAUCAGGUACGUCAGCGUAAAGUGGCGCAGGGUGUUGUAGUUUGGCUUUUUGUUUUUCUUUGCAAUGGAUUAUGAGUUGAUAUGAAAUCCCAUGGCAUAUUUGAAAGCAUUAGUCUGAUUACUACUUAGGCUACAGUAAAGUGGUUCAUGUGUAAGAUACAGCCUGAGCAUGAAGUGGUCUACUCUUUCCUUCUUUCAGGUCAUUUUGGAGUUGUAAUCAAAGAUUUGGUAGCAGAUCGUACCAAGGCAGGUGUAAUGUGCAUCCAAGAUCAAUAUUUUGUCUUGCUUUCGUUGAAUGUAAUACCAUUGUCUUCAUACCGUUUUUAAGUAUCUUUUGCGUGGGAUUUUAUACAUUUUCCUAUUGCUUUUUAUGGAGAUGUAGUUUGG
rnacentral:rRNA from 1 species